rnacentral:RNase_P_RNA from 1 species
GAAGUGAGACAGACGGCCGCGGCUGCCUUAGGGCAGUCGAGGAAAGUCCGGACAUCGAAGGGCAGGGUGGUCGGUAACGCCGACCCGGGGAAACCCGCGGGAAAGUGCCACAGAAAAGAACCGCCUAAGUGGAGCCUCGGCUCCACCGGUAAGGGUGAAAAGGUGCGGUAAGAGCGCACCGGCGUCGUGGUGACACGGCGGCCAGGCAAACCCCACCCGAUGCAAGGCCAAGCAGGACCGUUAUGAGGCUGCCCGCCCAGGUCCAGGUAGGCCGCAAAGAUGGAUGGCCGUUCAAGACAGAAUCCGGCUUAUCGUUUCGCUAAAGGA